rnacentral:lncRNA from 1 species
GACCGGAUGGGGGGAGAGGCCCUGCAACGCCCAUAUGCGCCCCCACAGCCCUGUUAGGGACAGGAGGAAAACCUCGCCUUAACUUGAGCAAAGUCGAAGGCCCGGUUCCAUUUAGACUGGAUGGGGGGAGAGGCCCUGCAAUGCCCACGCGUGCCCCCACAGCCCUGCUAAGGACAAGAGGAGAACCUCGCCCUAGAUUGAGCGAAAUCGAAGGCCCAGACUCCUACGGGAGCCGAGCUCCAUCCGCAACUCCUACCGCAAGGACUUCGCCC